rnacentral:misc_RNA from 1 species
GGUGAUGGAAAUUCAUUUGGGUUUGUUCCUUUGGAGAGGCCAUCGAGUUUUAAGGAAUUCUCGAUGGAGGAUUAUGCGAAAGAUUCUGUCUUUAAGGGGAUUGCUGUAAUGGCGAAGACGGAAAUGCCUUUGACUAAUAAGGUUGUGAUGGAUUGUCGUUGGGGUGUGAAUUUUCCAAAGGAUUUGGGAAGCAGGAUGCCGUUUUUAAGUGUGAAUAAGAUCGGGAUUAAGAGAAUUGAGGAAGUUAAGGAGGUGAAGGAGAAGAAGGAUAAGAAUUCACGCGAAACAGAGUUGCUGAAAGGUAUGUGCUUUUGGAUGAAAAACGAGUUGGAGAUGCUGCAGAGAGAGAAUAGAGAGAUGAAACAUAGGUUGGAGGAAAUGAAGAUGGGGAAUGGUGGUAGGAAGGGUGUUGGUGAGGCAGAGUUUGUAGGUGUGCAGGUGAUUGAGAAUUCAGGAGGAUUUGAGCAGUGGAGGAAUAAGAGGAAUAGUGGGGGAGAGAAUCCGAAGAAAGAGGUGAAGAAGAACUCCUCCAACGGGAAUCGAGCAAGUGAUGUUGAGAGUGAGUUGCAGAAAGCUAUUAGGGCUGCUUCUUCAUCAUGAGGUUUGAACUGUCUACUAAUUACCUCGAGUAAAUAGUCAAAUAAUACUUCCUUUCUUAGUAUGCAAUGUAUAUAUGAAUGAGCUUGCUGUAACGUAAGUGUGAUACUUAUCUCCUUAAGGAGGGUUAGAUUGAUGAAGAAUUUGAAGUUUUACUUCUCCAGACUAUAGAGAAGGCUUCAGGUCCUCCCUCGCGAGCAUUCUAAUGUUAGU